rnacentral:rRNA from 1 species
CGGCCUUAGUGGUGCACGGGUGCGUAACGCGUGGGAAUCUGCCCCUCGGUUCGGAUAACAGCUGGAAACGACUGCUAAUACCGGAUGAUGACGUAAGUCCAAAGAUUUAUCGCCGAGGGAUGAGCCCGCGUAGGAUUAGCUAGUUGGUGUGGUAAAGGCGCACCAAGGCGACGAUCCUUAGCUGGUCUGAGAGGAUGAUCAGCCACACUGGGGCUGAGACACGGCCCAG